rnacentral:rRNA from 1 species
AUUGAACGCUGGCGACAUGCCUUACACAUGCAAGUCGAACGGCAGCACGGGUGCUUGCACCUGGUGGCGAGUGGCGAACGGGUGAGUAAUAUAUCGGAACGUACCUUAUUGUGGGGGAUAACGCAGCGAAAGCUGUGCUAAUACCGCAUAAUCCCGUAGGGGGAAAGCGGGGGACCGUAAGGCCUCGCGCAAUUAGAGCGGCCGAUACCUGAUUAGCUAGUUGGUGAGGUAAAGGCUCACCAAGGCGACGAUCAGUAGCUGGUCUGAGAGGACGAUCAGCCACACUGGGACUGAGACACGGCCCAGACUCCUACGGGAGGCAGCAGUGGGGAAUUUUGGACGAUGGGGGCAACCCUGAUCCAGCAAUGCCGCGUGAGUGAAGAAGGCCUUCGGGUUGUAAAGCUCUUUUGUCAGGGAAGAAACAGCAGCUCUAACACAGUAUGCGAAUGACGGUACCUGAAGAAUAAGCACCGGCUAACUACGUGCCAGCAGCCGCAGUAA